GCUGUGCACCGCGUCUUCCUACAGCUGGCUGAGGUGCUGGGCGGGGAGGACGUGUCGGUGCAGCUGCGGUGGCCGUCGUUCCUGCUGAUGGCCAGCAAACCUGCGCCCUGAACGCCUUACUGAUAGCAAAAUAUUUGUGUUUAGCGAUACAAUAACCGCCCUCAAUGCUAUUCCUACCUACAAACCUGGUGAUAAAAAUUGUCAGUAGACAGGGGCCGUAUCUAUGUAUCGAUCCAAAUCUAUACCUUAACCGCCCUCAAUGCUAUUCCUACCUACAAACCUGCGCCCUGAACGCCUUAUUGAUAGUACAAUCAUUGUGUUUAGCGAUACAAUAACCGCCCUCAAUGCUAUUCCUACCUACAAACCUGCGCCCUGAACUACUUAUUGAUGUUACAAUCAUUGUUUUUAGCGAUACAAUAACCGCCCUCCAUGCUAUUCCUACCUACAAACCUGCGCCCUGAACAACUUAUUGAUAGUACAAUCAUUGUUUUUAGCGAUACAAUAACCGCCCUCAAUGCUAUUCAUACCUACAAACCUGCGCCCUGAACGACUUAUUGAUAGUACAAUCAUUGUGUUUAGCGAUACAAUAACCGCUCUUAAUGCUAUUCCUACCUACAAACCUGGUGAUAAAAAUUGUCAGUAGACAGGCGCCGUAUCUAUGUAUCGAUCCAAAUCUAUACCUUAAUCGCCCUCAAUGCUAUUCAUACCUAAACACCUCGUAACAAGAAUUGUCAGUUAUCAGACGCCGUAUUUUUAUAACGAUCCAGAUAUUUUUAGAUAUGUUAACCGCCCUUAAUGCUAUUCGUACCUAAAGACCUAAUAACAAGAAUUGUCAGUUAUCAGAUGCAGUAUUUUUAUAACGAUUCAGAUGUUAUUAUCAAUACAAUAACCG